CUCAUCUUGUGAGAUGGCUAAUCUUAGUUGUCAACUUGACUUCAUCUGGAAUCAACUAACACUCACUCUGUUGGGCAUUCCUGUGAGGGAUUUUCCUAAUCAGAUUGUUUGAAGCGGGAAGACUCACCCUAAAUCUGGGCCAUUAAAGGACAAGGAAGAAUGAAACUUCCUGUCUGCUCGCCCUCACUUUUGCUGGCGAGUUAUCUACGCCAUUGCUGUGGCUUAUAGAAAUCAAGCCUCUUCAGGAUUCCAAAGCAGACUGAAGACCAGCAGCUCUCCAGGAAUCCUUAGGGACUGCCAGCACUAGAAUGGAACAGCAGGAGACAAGCAGCCUCAAGGACUGAACAACGUUUUGGCUUUUCUAUCAUGAGAUAGUCAUUGUUGAAGUACCUGGACCACAUGAUGUAAGACAAUCUAAUAAAUGCACAUAUAUCUAAGCCUUUGGACUCCAUGCCCCAUGGCUAUCUCUCAUCACUAGGGACCUUUGUUCCAGGACAGUAUAAACGUUUGGUAAUUCUUACUUCCUGAAGGGCAACAACCUGAACUCUCACACGUAAUCCUCCCUUCUCUCUCGUGGAUGGGCUGGGCUGAGGUCCAAUUUGUGUUGUUCCGAAAUUCUUGGGGGUGGGGCUUGCCUUGGAUCUGGUCACAUGCCUGAAGAACUCUACUCACCCCACCCCGCCAGCAGCUAUUAAAGACUAUGGCUCCAUGAGACUCCGAACCUGCACUUUUAACCGCUGCACUAUACUGCCUCCCCAUGUUAAUGAACCCAGCACUUUGGAAGAUAGAAGAAACCACAGAUGCCUGCAGAUAACAUGUUUUAUAAAUAGUUUCUACUGGCGCCAUUUCCCUUAUAUUGUAUUGUUAUAUUAAUUACUAUGUUACAAGUGAAACAACCAGGAGACCCAACGAGGUUCAAGCAAAUUCAAGGGUUUUGAUCUCUAAAAUACCAUGGUCACUACCCUCUUCUGUGGCUUUGUGUCUGCUCCUGGUUUUCUAAAGCAGUCUUUUGUUUUGCACGAACACUUGUUAUGGAGAAAUAUCAGCUACAGGGAACAAUUCACAACAGUACCUUCUACCCACUCUCCUUCCUUCCCCACAACCUCCGGUCCUGGCAAGCGCUGUUAUUUUGAAUUAAUUUGAUUGAAAGAGACAGGAAACCCACGUUUAUUUAUUUUUUCUAAAAUCGAUGAAACAAAACAUCUUUAAGAAACCUGAUGUUACCCUUUGUUCCCAACAUCAACCUUCAGAGGAGAGAAAAGAGUGCUGCCAUAAUUGAGAAAGAGGGAGAGGGCUCAGGGACACUUAGAAAUUUCAAGCAUCGUUCCUAUUGUUUUUGGUAUGCGGCAUUCUAAGGCAUUCAAAAUACCAGCCAGAGGGAAUUUCCAAGAUUGCGUAAUUCUCCAACGGAGCUGCUCUAAGUUUCUUUGACUACUCAUUUUUGAACAUUGCCUCUGGGAUGCAGGGCCCAUCCUUAGGUUAAGCUUUCUUCCUACCCCAUUCUCUGUAAGAUGACUCCUCUGUAUCCUCAGAUAACAAUUUCUAUCUGCUAGGUCUUUAUAGCACAUAGCUUCCUGUUAGAGGUCGUCCGUAUUCUGCGUUCACAGCACUCUUCAAUUCUGUAUUAUUGGUGACACAAAUGAAAAGCUUAAAGACAUCAAAAUGACACCACCAUCUCUAAUGUAAUAAAACAUCUAAUGGUGUUCGUAGGAGUAAUCGCAGCAAGAGCCUAGUGUAUGCCUGUCUUUCAGAGCCAAGUCUAGGUCUGAGGACAAGGAAAAGACAUGUAUCCCCUUUGCCUUGUCUAAUAGAUUCGUGGAAAGAUG